rnacentral:ncRNA from 1 species
UGGUCCUAGCCUUGUAAUCAGUUAUUACUUAAUAUACACAUGCAAGUAUCCGCACCCCUGUGAAAACGCCCUUAAAUCCCCAGUAGGGAUAAGGAGCUGGUAUCAGGCCCUAUGCCCAAGACACCUAGCUUUGCCACACCCACAAGGGAAUUCAGCAGUGAUUAACAUUGAUCAUAAGCGUCAGCUUGACUCAGUUAAAGUAAAGAGAGCCGGCUAAUCUGGUGCCAGCCGCCGCGGUUACACCAAGUGGCUCAAACUGAUGUUUAUCGGCGUAAAGCGUGAUUAAAGUUCAUUAGCCUAUUUGAGUUAAAUUUAAACUAAGCUGUGACACGCUUGUUUUUCAGAAACCCUAAAUCGAAAGAUACUCCAAUUUUCCAACUUGAAUUCACGACAGCUAAGACACAAACUGGGAUUAGAUACCCCACUAUGCCUAGCCGUAAACUUUAAUUUACACCACAAUCGCCUGGGAACUACGAGCAAAGCUUAAAACCCAAAGGACUUGACGGUACCCCAUAUCCACCUAGAGGAGCCUGUCCUAUAAUCGAUAAUCCCCGUUUAACCUCACCCCUUCUAGCCCAUCAGCCUGUAUACCUCCGUCGUCAGCUUACCACGUGAGCGCAAACUAGUGAGCCUAAUGCCCAUACGCCAAAACGUCAGGUCAAGGUGCAGUAAAUGAGGGGGGAAGAGAUGGGCUACACUCUCUAAUGUAGAAUAUACGAAUGACUAUCUAUGAAACCUAGUCGAAAGGCGGAUUUAGAAGUAAAGAGAAACAAUUGUGUUCUUUUUAACUUGGCACUGGGGUGUGUACACACCGCCCGUCACCCUCUUCAAAGCCUUGAACUAGUCUUUAACAAAUAUAAGCACCACAGAAGAGGCAAGUCGUAACAUGGUAAGUAUACCGGAAGGUGUGCUUGGAAA